GUGCAGCAGGCGCGAAAACUUUACAAUGUGCGAAAGCACGAUAAGGGAACUCUGAGUGCCUCCUAAGGAGGCUGUUCAGGUGUCUAAAAGCACCUGAAGGAAGGGCUGGGUAAGACCGGUGCCAGCCGCCGCGGUAACACCGGCAGCCCAAGUGGUAGCCACGUUUAUUGGGUCUAAAGCGUCCGUAGCCGGCUGGGUAAGUUCCUUGGGAAAUUUGGCUGCUUAACAGUCAAGCUUUCAGGGAAUACUGCUCGGCUUGGGGACCGGGAGAGGUCAGAGGUACUCCAGGGGUAGGGGUGAAAUCCAUUAAUCCUUGGGGGACCACCGGUAGCGAAGGCGUCUGACCAGACCGGGUCCGACGGUGAGGGACAAAGGCUAGGGGCGCGAACCGGAUUAGGAUACCCGCGUAGU
rnacentral:rRNA from 1 species